UACGUAGGUGGCAAGCGUUGUCCGGAUUUACUGGGCGUAAAGAGCGCGCAGGCGGUCAUUCAAGUCGAGUGUGAAAGCCCCCGGCUCAACUGGGGAGGGUCACUUGAUACUGUUUGACUCGAAGGCGGGAGAGGGAAGUGGAAUUCCCGGUGUAGUGGUGAAAUGCGUAGAUAUCUGGAGGAACACCGGUGGCGAAGGCGGCAUCCUGGACCGGUAUUGACGCUGAGGCGCGAAAGCUAGGGGAGCAAACGGGG
rnacentral:rRNA from 1 species